UACGUGAGAGGCAAGCGUUACUCGUCAUUAAUGGGUCUAAAGGGUACGUAGGUACUAUAGAACAUCUAAUUUAGGACGUAAGAGUAAAUAUUGAUAAUUCUAUAGUUGAGUCAAAAAAGAAGUAACAAAUAUAACGAGAGUAAUGUGACAAUAUUAAUAUCCUCGAGAGGUUGCGAAGUGGCGAAGGCAUGUUACUAUUGAUGACUGACACUGAGGUACGAAGGCAUGGGGUAUCAAUCGGG
rnacentral:rRNA from 1 species